UACGUAGGGGGCGAGCGUUGUCCGGAGUUACUGGGCGUAAAGGGCAUGCAGGCGGUCGGACGCGUUUCGGGUGACAGCGGGUGGCUUAACUACCCGAGUGGUCGAAAGACGGUUUGACUUGAGGACGCGAGAGGGACACGGAAUUCCGGGUGGAGUGGUGAAAUGCGUAGAGAUCCGGAGGAACACCGAAGGCGAAGGCAGUGUCCUGGCGCGUAACUGACGCUGAGGUGCGAAAGCCAGGGGAGCGA
rnacentral:rRNA from 1 species